GAACGUCGUGAGACAGUUCGGUCCAUAUCCGGUGUAGGCGUUAGAAUAUUGAGAGGAUUCUUCUUUAGUACGAGAGGAUCGAGAAGAACGUACCGCUAGUGUACCAGUUAUCAUGCCAAUGGUAAAUGCUGGGUAGCUAUGUACGGAGUGGAUAACCGCUGAAAGCAUCUAAGUGGGAAGCCCACCUCAAGAUGAGUAUUCUUAUC
rnacentral:rRNA from 1 species